rnacentral:rRNA from 1 species
GACGAACGCUGGCGGCGUGCCUAAUACAUGCAAGUAGAACGCUGAAGGAGGAGCUUGCUUCUCUGGAUGAGUUGCGAACGGGUGAGUAACGCGUAGGUAACCUGCCUGGUAGCAGGGGAUAACUAUUGGAAACGAUAGCUAAUACCGCAUAAUAGCAGUUGUUGCAUGACAACUGUUUGAAAGGUGCAAAUGCAUCACUACCAGAUGGACCUGCGUUGUAUUAGCUAGUUGGUGGGGUAAAGGCUCACCAAGGCGACGAUACAUAGCCGACCUGAGAGGGUGAUCGGCCACACUGGGACUGAGACACGGCCCAGACUCCUACGGGAGGCAGCAGUAGGGAAUCUUCGGCAAUGGACGGAAGUCUGACCGAGCAACGCCGCGUGAGUGAAGAAGGUUUUCGGAUCGUAAAGCUCUGUUGUAAGAGAAGAACGAGUGUGAGAGUGGAAAGUUCACACUGUGACGGUAUCUUACCAGAAAGGGACGGCUAACUACGUG